GUAACUGGGGUCUCGCAUUGGCAGGACUUCCUGGGAAAAUCAGAUCCAUUUCUGGAGUUCUUCCGCCAGGGUGAUGGGAAAUGGCACCUGGUGUACAGAUCUGAGGUCAUCAAGAACAACCUGAACCCUACAUGGAAGCGUUUCUCAGUCCCCGUUCAGCAUUUCUGUGGUGGGAACCCCAGCACACCCAUCCAGGUGCAAUGCUCCGAUUAUGACAGUGACGGGUCACAUGAUCUCAUCGGUACCUUCCACACCAGCUUGGCCCAGCUGCAGGCAGUCCCGGCUGAGUUUGAAUGCAUCCACCCUGAGAAGCAGCAGAAAAAGAAAAGCUACAAGAACUCUGGAACUAUCCGUGUCAAGAUUUGUCGGGUAGAAACAGAGUACUCCUUUCUGGACUAUGUGAUGGGAGGCUGUCAGAUCAACUUCACUGUGGGCGUGGACUUCACUGGCUCCAAUGGAGACCCCUCCUCACCUGACUCCCUACACUACCUGAGUCCAACAGGGGU
rnacentral:lncRNA from 1 species